AGCAAAAACAGAAGUAUGCAGUUUGGAAAGCUGCAGAUAUAAGGAAAGCUCUUAAAGAAGGUCGGAAACCUGAACCAGGUCCUCCAGGUGGUGAUCCUGAUCAAUCAAUUUCCUCAGGCCUCUCGAGCUACACUUAUGGCACACAACCAAGCGAUGGAUUGCCAUCUAGUCAGCAAUUUGACAAUGCAUCGCCUCAGCAUAUACACAAGAAUUCAGAAGGAAGUGAGCAUUUUG